UGGCGACCAUAGCAUUGUGGACCCACCUGAACCCAUGCCGAACUCAGAAGUGAAACGCAAUAGCGCCGAUGGUAGUGUGGGGUUUCCCCAUGUGAGAGUAGGACAUCGCCA
rnacentral:rRNA from 1 species